UACGGAGGGUGCAAACGUUGCUCGGAAUCAUUGGGCGUAAAGCGCACGUAGGCGGCCUGUUAAGUUGGAUGUGAAAGCCCUCGGCUCAACCGAGGAAGUGCAUACAAAACUGGCGGGCUUGAAUAUGGAAGAGGGUCGCGGAAUUCCCGGUGUAGAGGUGAAAUUCGUAGAUAUCGGGAGGAACACCAGUGGCGAAGGCGGCGACCUGGGCCAAUAUUGACGCUGAGGUGCGAAAGCGUGGGGAGCAAACAGG
rnacentral:rRNA from 1 species